GCUCCGGAGCCGCCGCCGGAUCCCACGCAGCCUCCAGCUGUCGGGGAAACUCCUGCCUGGGCCACGUGACCCGCGCCCGCCAACCAGCGGCCGCGCCGGAGACUUCAAACGAGGCCAGCGCGGCCCAGCACUCGCGGCGAGUUCGCGGGCUGCCGCGUGGGGGUGGCCGCCGCAGCCUCAGGCGCGGUCACCGCCUCUCCGCCCGGUGCCGCCCGCUUCCUGUCGGCAUCCUGGGAGCCCCUCCAGCGAGAGAUGCUCUGUCAUCCUGCGCGAAGCCUGGUCCAAGGCGGGGGCCGGCGUUCAGAGGUCAGCCCGACUCCGGAGCAGAGUGCGCGACUGCGGUCUCCAGGUUUGCAAUCUACAGCCGUUUCUGAACUCAUCGCACCAUCUGUGUUUUUUGCAAGCAUCGCUUCUUAUGACUCAGACCUCAAUUCAGAAACCCAGAAACCAUGAGGAAUAUGAUUGAGGAAAGCAUACAGAGAUCUAAGGCCUAGUCUUCAAUCUCUCAGUAAUGUAAUGGUAAAUUUAGAGCACAGGCUCUGGACACACAGGCUCGGCAGCCAUGGCUCACAGGCCCAGCCGCUCCGCGACUUGUGGGAUCUUCCCGGACCAGGGCCCGAACCCGUGUCUCCUGCAUCGGCAGGCAGACUCUCAACCACUGUGCCACCAGGGAAGCCCUGGAAGCAUUCUUAACCCAGGAAUCAAGAUCUCCAGAUCAGUAGUUUGAUGUUAGGAGGAUGGAAAGCAAAAGUUUUGCAAUCAGGUUUUUACGUAUAAUAGUGAGAAGAGCCACUCCCACUUUCAUCUUUUUAUUCCUGUGUUUAGUCUGGCUAUGGGAGAGACACACGACACACUGGGCUCUGAUUCAAAGCAUAUAUUGCAUUUUAAGAUUUAAGAUGUGGAUGAUGUAAAAUGUGAAACCACAUUCUUUCUGGAUGUUGUCUUUAAACUGACUGAAUCUUGAGUAAUCCACUCCACUGUUCUAUCUGGCCAGGCCCUUAAUCAGAAGCAGUGUUGUACAGAAUAGAAUGAAAAUGAAUAAGGCAUUUUGUGAGUCCAUGGACGGUGGUGCCAGCAGAAGCAUUAUAGGCAGGGAGGGCAAAUCUAUAUCAUAUAUAUAAAUAUAUAUAUAUAAAUUUUAUAUAUAUAUAUGUGUGUAUAUAUAUAUAUAUAUAUAUAUAUAUAUAUAUUCCAGUGAAAAGAUCUCUGUCAUCUUCCACGAGGGAAGUAGUCCAAUAUAAUUAACCAAUCAGCAGGUAGCUGGUUUGUCCUUCCAAUGAAGGGUGUCAAACAGAAGACCCAGUGUUGGUCUGUGCUGUUGAUUAGUUAGGCACUCAGCAGUGACAAUGUAACAAGGCUACAAGGUCAGCCUCGGUGAGCAGAUAAUAUUGCUGUGCCCAUGCAGAGCCUCCAUUUCAGCCACAUGGCCACUUUGCACAUGGGUCCAUUGAGAAAGCACUAGGGUGGCUGGGGACAGUGGUUUACAGACAUCAAGAGAGCAUCUUUUUGUCCACCUGAUUAUUGAAAGCCUCCUCUUCAAGUGAUGCCCUUUGGUAAGAAUUUGCAUGGAACAUAAAUAUCUUCAUAGACCCUGUGCCUGUUCUGAGAGGUCUAUCCAUAUACCUCUUCCCCAGACCUUCUUGUAUCAAUUUUCCAACCUUGUUCUCUCCAAGUCCCUGACAGUCCAAUCUAAAUGUUAGCAAGUGCUCACGAAUCACUGAAGAUCCAUACUUCUGAUCGUGUUUCAGUCCAGAGGAGGGGGACAGUCCAAUGUGUUGCUCUCGAUUAUGCUCGUUAAGAGAAUUUCCCUCCACUACUGCCCUCCAGGGCCACCUCUCCAUUGGAACUGUAAUGAUACAACCAUCCAGCUUGAUGCCAGUAUAUCAUGAAGAACCAUUUGUAAACCAGUCCUGGGUUUUUCACCUUCCUCCUCAAUAAACCAGUUAUAAGAAUCUCCCAUAAGGCUGUAAAUAUAGAUUGAAGGAGAGGAAGAGUCACUGUUGAAGGACACUUCAUGCAAUUACUUGUGUCUUCCAUCUUUGCUCAAAUCCAAUAUCAUAUACAAUUUCCACUCGAUGAUAGAUUGCUGCCAAGCACAAUCAGCCUUAUCAUUUGGUGGUCCAAACAGCACUCAUUUCAUAAAAGGAAGCUCAGUUAUUGUGGUCACUUGAUGUCCCAUGGUUAGGCAUUCAGUCUCUACCCAGGGCUAAAUAGCAAGACUGGAGCUCUUCCUAAAAAGGAGAAUAAUUAUCUAAAAAGGGAACAUGGAUUUUCUCCAAAGCCCUAGCGGUCUGCACUGUGAUUUCCCUUUGGUGCAAAGGAUAUCUGCUUACUACACAAUGGAGUGAAUAUUUUAUAUGUACAGCUAUUUGAGUAUUAAAUAGCACCAUUCUUAUAGAUUUUUUUUCUUGUUAAAAAUUUUUCUUGGGGACUUCCCUGGCAGUCCAGUGGUUAGGACUCUGCGCUUCCAUUGCAGGGCGCAUGGGUUAGAUCCCUGGCCAGGGAACCAAGAUCCUGCAAGCUGCACAGCGCAGCCAAAAAAAAAAAAAGUCUUUUUGUUAAAAGUGUUUUCUUUGAACUUACGGUUACCGAGGGGAAGGAUGGGGGAAAGGGAUAGUUAGGGAGUCUAGAAUCGACAUGUACAGAUUGCUAUAUUUAAAGUGGAUAACCAACAAGAACCUACUGUAUAGCACAGGGAACUCUGCUCAAUGUUAUGUGGCAGCCUGGAUGGGAGGGGAGUUUGGGGGAGAAUUGGAUACAUGUAUAUGUAUGGCUGAGUCACUUUGCUGUGCACCUGAAACUAUCACAACAUUGUUAAUCGGCUAUGCUCCAAUAUAAAAUAAAAAGUUUUUAAAAAUGUGUU